AGAUAGCCAAUUAUUAAAAACAGUCAAGACAAUUGCACCUUUAAGCAGUAGUAGCAGUUGCCACACUACCUUGAAUCUUGAAGUAUUUUCAGCAACAGGAUGACCGUUAGCCACAAAUUUAGUGUCAGCCCUUAAGGUCGGUAUUGGUUUGACCCAUAUUUUCAUGUAGUUCUUUUUCUUCACUUGUCUAAUCCUCCCGUGUACUGUCAGGGCUUGUCAUUAGAGGACUUUAGGGAGACCAAGCAGGCUAGAAAGUAGAGACAGGAGAUACCUAUGUCUAAUGCUUCAGUUUAUACUUCCUAGGUUUUUUUUCAUUGGGGUUUUUGUAACUCUUUUGGUAUCCUACCAGUGCUUUGGUAGCCUACUGAACCCUGUCUUUCUUCUUAAGGACAUUCUGAGCAUGUGAGACCUGAGGACUGCAAACAGCUGUCAGAGGCUCCAAAUUCAGCAUAUCUUUCCUUUUGAGAAUCUGGCCAAGCUCCAGCUAAUCUACUUGGAUGGGUUGCCAGCUAUCUGGAGAAAAAGAUCUUCCUCAGAAGAAUAGGCUUGUUGCUUUACAGUGUUAGUGAUCCAUUCCCUUUGACGAUCCCUAGGUGGAGAUGGGGCAUGAGGAUCCUCCAGGGGAAAAGCUCACUACCACUGGGCAACAACCCUAGGUCAGGAGGUUCUGUCAAGAUACUUUCCUGGUCCCAGAUAGGAAGAUAAAGUCUCAAAAACAACCACCACAAGUCAAGCUCUUCAUUGUUCCUAUCUGCCAAAUCAUUAUACUUCCUACAAGCGGUGCGGAGAGCUGAGUCUUCAGCAGGUCCAAGAAAUUUGAACACACUG
rnacentral:lncRNA from 1 species